rnacentral:rRNA from 1 species
AAAAAGCGGAGGAAAAGAAACCAACAGGGAUUGCCCUAGUAACGGCGAGUGAACAGGCAAGAGCUCAGAUUUGAAAGGCACUUUUGUGCCGUUGUAUUCUGAAGUUAGGGUCCUGAGAAACGAUGCUUAAGUCUUCUGGAAAGGAGCGCCAUGGAGGGUGAUAGCCCCGUCUAGCAUUGACCUCAUAUAGGAUCUUAACAUGGAGUCGAGUUGUUUGGGAAUGCAGCUCAAAUGGGUGGUAUGCUCCAUCUAAAGCUAAAUAUCUGCGAGAGACCGAUAGUAAACAAGUACUGUGAGGGAAAGAUGAAAAGAACUUUGAAAAGAGAGUGAAAAAGUACGUGAAAUUGUUGAAAUGGAAGGGUAGGCCGCUAACCAUGUAGAGCCGUGUUUGGGGGGAAGAUAAAUGCUGUAGAAUGUAGCUCCUCGGAGUAUUAUAGAUGCAGUUCAUAUUCCCACCCGAGCGCGAGGAUCUCAGGUUCUACUAAAUGGUGGUCUACCACCCGUCUUGACC